AUUCUCUUAUGAUUCUAUCACACUGGGCACAAUGUAAGUCACAAGGCAGUUCAGUUUUUGGUAGUAACUACUAAAUAUAGACCAUUUUUGCUAUUCAGUUUAAUUAAAUCAAUGAUUUUGAAUGUCCAGAAAUAUUUCUGUUUAAGCUGAAAGUUCAGAUUGCUUCUUGCAUUCUACAAAAUUAUUUUAUGUUAUGAUCCCAUUUAACAGGAUAUCAGACUCCCACACAGAGACUGCUGAUGGUAUAAACUAUCACCUGCUCAUGAACCAGGGUCAAAAGGAAAAAAAAAAGUACGUUGCUCACACACAUACUAACUAUUGAGAGAACAAUAAGGAAAUAGCACAUCAUCACUGCUGGCAGUAGACACUGUGGUAGACAAAUCAUUCACAGCAAAGUGACCUUUGUAAUCCUGAAAAAAAUCAGAGAAGCAAUUAUAAAUGUUUCUUUUUUCUUUUUAAUGCCAUGAAUGACUUAUGAUGUAGAACAUUAAUGAUCCUUUUUUCAAACAGAAGCUGGACAGCAGGGAGUGUAUUAUACUUUAAUGACCCCUUUAAAGAUACAUUUCUGUAGUAAGUUUGGUGUCUGUAUUUCAGUCAUUGCCCUGACAGGUACUAUGCAUACAUUUUAUAUAAAUGAUCAUUUCCUGACAUAUUUUCUGGUUUGAAAAUUGUAUACCUGUUUUCGCUUCAGCUUAAUAUCCUUCAGGAGAGGGAACUAGAUACAUCACUGCAGUAACAAACCUCAGGCUUUUUUCAUUCUGUGCACUGCUUUGUACAACCAACUUUUUUCAUCUCUUUUUCAAGCCCCAGCAUUUCUUCCAAGAUAUUAUGGAAAGGUGGAAACAAAUGUCAUAUGCCAGAUUUCCCUUUGUAUUGAUAUGGGCUGAAGAGAACCAAUAGCUGCACAGAGGGUCUGGGAGAUGGGGAUUCAGGGUCAGAGAAGGAAAAAAAGCAGCAACAUCACUUUUUGCUUUUCUUUCCUUCCAGACUUAUGGGUGCUUGCCCAGCCUCAUUUGUCAGGGCAAGAAGUAGCCUGUUUUCUGGAGCUGGAAGAUAUGCAAAGGUAAUGUUGUUCCAGUAUGUCCAGAGCCACCACAUCACUAUCUCCUUGUGCAGGUGUUGGGUUUGGUGGCCAGUGGGUAUAAGACUCUGAUCUUCCCUGGGAGAAGGGGACCCAGAAGAACUCAGGGUUCUAUGGAGUCCUAACUCCAUGUACAGAACUGGAGCAUCUUGACCCACACAGAUCUUCAGAGUUGGUAGUAUGCCUUCUGUUGGAAGCCCAAAUGUCAUCCUGAAGGGAGGUAUGGUUAAAAAUUCCACAAAGAGACUCUGCUAAGUCCCUAGGCUUUGGCAAGAGGAUGUGACAUGGAGCACUAUUGGUUUGGUGAAAGAUUUGGAUCAGCGUAGGGAUCCUCUUGUUUUCAGCACCGUAGCUUCCCCACCUACCUUCAACUACAGCACUACAAUACAUCAUAUUCAAUAGGCAACUUCCUGCAUUGAGAGAACACCCACAAGUAUUCUGCAGUUUUACUCCAUUUUGACUAGUAUUAAUUGCUCAAUACUUCAGAUAUGUAAAUUGUAGAAUAGGCAAGUUUUGGGAGGAGUUAUAUGGAUUAUAAACUGGAGCAGAUAGAGGGGGUACUGUAGUCUGAAUAACCCAAGAUGUGUGAAGACAGUGAAACAACUGUUCUGCAGGACCUUCUGGUUCAAAAAGUAUUAGAAGACCAAGUCAUUCAUAUGCUUAACUUUGAACACAUGCUUGUCCCAAUGAAGUCAAUAAAACAAAUCAUGUUUAUAAAGCUAAGCACAUACAUAAAUGUUUGUAGGAACAGGGCUUUAGAAUGGGCAGUAAGUCCACCUCUAUCAGUAUUGUUAAGUGCCAUGCACAUUUGUUGUGCUAUGUGGGGAGCAGGGAGGAAA